UGGGCAUAACGGUUUGGCCCCGAUUCUCAAGUAUAACGAUAAUAUUAAUUUCGGUUAAAACUGGUCUCAACGUGCCCACAUUAAGCGGAAUUCAUUGUGUUUGAAAAAAAGUUGGAUUCAAAAAUCAAUAAGUUUAAUACAUUAAUUUUAUAAAAACGAUUGUUAUUUUAAUUUAUUUGUAUGUGUAUUAUUAUUUUUCUAUCGCAAUCAAACUUUUAAUUAAUCGAUGAUUAUUAUCGAUUUUAGAUAUUCUGAAAUUUAUAAAAUACUAAUAACGGUAAAAAAUUAUUUUUAGAUUUUGGGUGUAGCGAGGAAUGUAUUGGUUUUAUUAUAUUGUUUUCUAUGUCAGUCUAUGAGCGGUUUUCCUAGCAAAUAUAUAUUGUUUCAACGACAAAGUACUUUUUUUAUUACAUUUUGGAUCUAAUAGUUUGUAC